CGAGCCGACCGGGCGGCCGCGGUACCGUCGGGCAACCGGCGGAUCGAGGAACGUCCGGGCUCCACAGAGCAGGGCGGUGGCUAACGGCCACCCGGGGUGACCCGCGGGAUAGUGCCACAGAAAACAGACCGCCGGCGUCGGCCGGUCAGGGUGAAACGGUGGGGUAAGAGCCCACCAGCGUGACGGGUGACCGCCACGGCUAGGUAAACCCCGCCCGGAGCAAGACCGCGCAGCAGGUGCCCGCCACGUGGUGGCGGAGAGGGUAGCUCGCCCGAGCCUGCGGGUAGGUCGCGUGAGGCCAUCGGCAACGAUGGUCCAAGAUGGAUGGUCGCCACCGCCACGCCGGUAACGGCGGGCGGCAACAGAACCCGGCGUACAGGUCGGCUCGUCCG
rnacentral:RNase_P_RNA from 1 species